AUUUAUAUAGUAUAUAAGUAUAUGUAACUUCCAAUUACAAGGAUUAAAUUUAAUUUAAUAUAAAUA
rnacentral:tRNA from 1 species